GAACUACAGAUAUCUGAUGUACAGCUUUCAGAUAAUGGAUUAUACUCAUGUUUUCCAUUUGACAUGCAGUGGAUAUUGACCAUAGAAGAAAACUGAAAAACAGAGGAGCCUCAGAUCAAACAGACACGGGCAAUAAGCUUCUUCUGGAUGGUGAUGUUUACUUUACAUCUUUGGAAGGAGUCUCCAGUGUGAGUGGCAAUCAGAUGUGGUGCAAAUUUUUGUUAGACUGUAAUUUAACUAGCAAGUUUCUAUUUAUUAAAUUUAGAAAGGUUUUAUAAAUACAACCCAAAUAUUACAAUUAAUUUAAAGGUAAAAAAAAAUAUGAAAUAUGAAAAUGAAAAAAAAAAUAGUUGCUAUGGUUUUUCACAGAUUCAUUAAAGAUUGAACAGUAUUAUUUCUUUUCUUAUCUGUGUAAAGGCAAACAAAGAUUCUCUCCAUCACAGUGACACAAUAACUUCCUGUGUCUACAUCAUGACAAGCUCAAAUAAUGUUGCAAUUGACUACAACUGAGCAAGAUGUUUUUCUACUUUACAGAGUCACCAUCACUUCCUUCUACAGAAAUGUUUCUAUGAUGCUCAUAUUCACAGGGAUAUAAACUGACUGGCCUUUUUACUCUAGACUGAAAUCUGGAUAAAAAAGUUAGAUUAAAACCUUUAGAAAACGGUUUUGUUAUAUGUUUGUUGCUCAAAUAUAACUCAGUCAAAUGCUGAUUUAUAUUUAAAAAACUAAAAGGAGUAAAGUUUAAAGAAUGCUUAAUUAGAUUAGUGGAAAAACUGCAGUCUUGUGACAGAUGAGUCUGGCUGAGAUGGCUUUCUUCGAAUUCAAUAUUAAAUAUCAUUUUUAAUCUAUUUACAUUGACGAGAUAUAAUAAUGUUGAAAAAAGUUUCAGUAUUAUGUUCAAACGUUGGAAUUAAUUGACAUGUUUUUGCUCUCACAUAGCACUUAUUUAAUAAAGUGUUACCUGACUUCC